AUUGAACGCUGGCGGCAGGCCUAACACAUGCAAGUCGAGCGGAGCGGCCGACGGGUGAGUAAUGCCUAGGAAUCUGCCUGGUAGUGGGGGAUAACGUCCGGAAACGGGCGCUAAUACCGCAUACUAUCAGAUGAGCCUAGGUCGGAUUAGCUAGUGGGUGGGGUAAAGGCCUACCAAGGCGACGUUCCGUAACGGGUCUGAGAGGAUGAUCAGUCACACUGGAACUGAGACACGGUCCAGACUCCUACGGGAGGCAGCAUUGGGGAAUAUUGGACAAUGGGCGAAAGCCUGAUCCAGCCAUGCCGCGUGUGUGAAGAAGGUCUUCGGAUUGUAAAGCACUUUAAGUUGGGAGGCGGUACCAACAGAAGAAGCACCGGCUAACUUCGUGCCAGCAGCCGCGGUAAUUC
rnacentral:rRNA from 1 species